GCGAAGCGAAACGCGCACAGCACGAACAAACGCGAAGAAUAAAGUGAAAAAGAGGACCAAAGAGAGACGCGGUAGGCGAGAAAGAGAUGGCGCGUUUCCAGUGAAGGUGAAGUGACAGUAAAUAACAACAACAAAAGAACCAACUAUCAAAGACCCACUGUACACACCUCCCAGAGCGGACAUUAAACCGCAGCUCCACAAUGAACGCGCUUUGUUGUCGUCGGCGUUAUCAAUUAAAUGUAAAACGAGGCGCAGCGCAAACGAAAUGGAAAUGAAAAUGGCAGCCGUGAGAUACUACACCACUCACACAGAUACUAUAUACAGAUACUUUAUAUAUAUGUAUGUACCUAUAGUGCACACGUUUACAAAAGUUUGUUAUUAUUAUAUUUGCGAUGAGCGGAAAUGCCAAUUGAAGCUACCUUUAACAAAGCCCCAUGAAGAUGCCCGCCCCCGGGGGUUAACUGAUGGACUGAUGGAUGGAUGGGUGGACUUAUGGACAAACGGAGGGACUGUGUGCAUGACUCAAGUGUAUUUCAGGGGAGCCACUCGAGCCAAAGUUGAAAAUUGAUUGAUUCCACUAAGCGAAUGGGCCGAGCACAUGGAAAUGGAAGCUAAAACCACUCGAGUGUUCAAGAGCGCUGAUAAGAACGCACUAUCUGUUUACUCAAUCGAUUCCUAAGAGGCGCGUGUGUUCGUAAACAAAGCAGAUCAGGGUCGGGAACUACAGAUCGGAUGGAAACUACGGAUUAGUCAGCGAACUCAAUAUUCAACCCCUGCCUAUCUCUAUUAUUUGCAGAUAACCUCGAUCAGCAGAGCAUUUCUCAUUAAACAUAUCAAGUAACAACCGCACAAUAAACGUCACAAGUGAAAAAACCCACGGGACUUGCAGCGAGGAAAAUUCAGAGCAGUCGAGGGGAUAUCGUCUGAGGAAUUUCCAUGUGAGAAACUGCGCCACAAGCGGAGCCACAUAAUUUAUGGCCCUCACGGUGAAAGUUGAUAUAAAUCUCAGGAGUAACUUAAAAAUGAAAGAAUGAACCAAGAAAACCGAAAGUAAGGAACAAGAAGUUUAAAUUAUAGUCGACCGGCUGACAUGUGGAAAAGUGCAGGUGAAAACUGGGAAAACCAGGAGGGGAUAUCCUUAAGGAAACAGGAACUCCCAUGGAUGAUGAUGAUGAUGAUGAUGUGUUAAGGGGAAUGGGAAACAUAAAAAAUGAUCUUAAGACAGGGGUUUUCUUUUAAGUGGGGUUUUAACCAAAGUGGAAUUGGAGAUGCUUCAAUAUUGUGAACACAAAUUAUUUUUUUGUCAACUAAUUACAGUCAUUGGAAAAUUAUUCAAAAGGCAU